rnacentral:rRNA from 1 species
UUAAGUAAUGAAAGAGGUUUGUAAGGAUACCUAGCAGAUAUACUUGAAAGGAAGUAAAUCUUUAAGUAAUAGUAAGAAAUUUGUAAACUAUUACAAUCCUAAGGAAAACCAAUAAAAUAGAUUACGCUGGGAACUAAAACAUUUCAGUACCAGUAGGAAAGGAAAUCUAAUGAGACUUCUGUAGUAAUGGUGAGUGAAACAGAAUCAGCCUAUUAUUCAUAUUGUAAAUAUAUUUUUUAAUAGUAAAAUAUUGUGGAAUUCAAUAUAUUUAUUAUACUACUAUACUAUGUAUAGUAGUAUAAUAUACCAAAGAUGGUGAAAGUCCAGACUACUAUUUUCUUGCAUUCAAGAAAUAGAUAUAUUUACAUACAUGUAUGAGUAAACAAAGUAAUAUGAAGACGGCAGCUUUGUAUGAAAUAUGGGGAUACCAUUCUCCAAGGCUAAGUAUAGUAUAUCUAGCGAUAGUGAAGAGUAACGUGAGUGAAAGGUGAAAAGUAAGUGUAUGACUGGUGAAAUAGAUCUUGAAUUACAAGCCUUACAAGCAGUUAGAGUUCUAUAGAAUAGAAUGAUAACGUACCUUUUGCAUAAUGGGUCAGCAAGUUAAUUAUAAAUGCAAGAUGAUGAAUCUUAGCGAAAGCGAUUGGCAUAACUGAGGAAAGUAUUUAUAAUUAGAUCCGAAACCAGAUGAUCUUUUUAUGGCCAGGUUUUAAGGGACCGAACAGCAAAAUGUUGCAAUAUUUUCUGAUGAGCUGUGAAAAGGGGUGAAAUGCUAAUCUAAUCUGGUGAUAGCUGAUAUUCUGCGAAAUCUAUUUUAGUAGAAAGUUUAUAUAUAGAAGAUUCUUUGUAUAGCACUGAUUUCCAUUUCCAAUAGAUUUACGGAUCUAUUGAUGUAGAAUAAAUUAGGGGAUUAUGAAAUCCUACUAUUGGAAGUUAACCUCAGAAGAAGAAUCUAUUGUUUAUGAACUGACAGUCUAUUUGUGAUAAGGUAAAUAGACAAAAGGGAAACAGCCCAGAUCAUAAAUUAAGGUCCCAAAUAGAUAUUUAGUGAAAAAAAGAAGGUCUUCUAUCUAAUACAACUACAAAGUAAGCUUGGAAGUAGCUAUCUUUUAAUGAUAGUGUAACAACUCAAUAGUCUAAAAUUCUAGAAUUUCGUAAGAAAUUCUAGAUUGAUAGAAGGCAUCGAAGAUUUAUCGGGUCUGAAAUAUCUAACCUACAUUAUGAUCUUAUUUAUUAUUGAAAGUAAUAAUAAAUAGGAAGGUAGCAGAACACUUAGUAUUCAGUGUGAAGAAAUGAAUAAAUUCAUUUUGGACAAUACUAAAGAGAGAAUGCUGGCAUGAGUAACGAUUAAGGAGUUAGAAUACUCCUCGCCGAAAACGAAAGGGUUUCAUGGAAAAGGUAAUCUGCCAUGAUUUAUACGGCUUCUAAGGGAAAUGAACGAAUUGUCAUUUUCUGAUGAAAGAAAGAAAUAAACAACCUUAGAAAUAAGGUUCAGGAAAAAUAUUUCUUCUAUAAAUAGUAACCGUACCUUAAACCGACACAGGUUCGUGGGUAGAGUAUACUAAGGCGUAGAGAUAAGGCUAGUGAAGGAACUCGGCAAAUUGCUUCUGUAAGUUCGACGAUAAAGAAGAAGAGAUAAUGAUGAGAUAUGAAAAUAUCUUAUCUUAUUUCUUGGCACAAAAGUGAGGGCUUCGACUGUUUACUAAAAACAUAGCAACUUGCUAAGACGAAAAGUACUUGUAUAAGUUGUGAACUCUGUCCAAUGCCAUUUGUUUAAGGAAGGGAAUCUUCUUCCGGGAAGUGUUCCUGACUGAUGCGGUGGUGAAUGACGGUCUUAACUAUAAGGAUCUGAAAGUAGCGAAAUUCCUUGGCCAUUAAAUGUGGUCCUGCAUGAAUGAGGUAACGCGGCCCUGCUGUCUCCACUAGCUUCUCAGUGAAAUUGAAUUAGCCGUGCAGAUGCGGUUUGCCUUCCGGAGGACGCGAAGACCCUAUGCAGCUU